rnacentral:rRNA from 1 species
GGGACCCUGGGCCGGCGGGCUUACCAUGCAAGUCGAGCGGGGAAGGGUAGCUUGCUACCUGACCUAGCGGCGGACGGGUGAGUAAUGCUUAGGAAUCUGCCUAUUAGUGGGGGACAACAUUCCGAAAGGAAUGCUAAUACCGCAUACGCCCUACGGGGGAAAGCAGGGGAUCUUCGGACCUUGCGCUAAUAGAUGAGCCUAAGUCAGAUUAGCUAGUUGGUGGGGUAAAGGCCUACCAAGGCGACGAUCUGUAGCGGGUCUGAGAGGAUGAUCCGCCACACUGGGACUGAGACACGGCCCAGACUCCUACGGGAGGCAGCAGUGGGGAAUAUUGGACAAUGGGCGAAAGCCUGAUCCAGCCAUGCCGCGUGUGUGAAGAAGGCCUUUUGGUUGUAAAGCACUUUAAGCGAGGAGGAGGCUACCGAGAUUAAUACUCUUGGAUAGUGGACGUUACUCGCAGAAUAAGCACCGGCUAACUCUGUGCCAGCAGCCGCGGUAAUACAGAGGGUGCGAGCGUUAAUCGGAUUUACUGGGCGUAAAGCGUGCGUAGGCGGCUUUUUAAGUCGGAUGUGAAAUCCCUGAGCUUAACUUAGGAAUUGCAUUCGAUACUGGGAAGCUAGAGUAUGGGAGAGGAUGGUAGAAUUCCAGGUGUAGCGGUGAAAUGCGUAGAUAUCUGGAGGAAUACCGAUGGCGAAGGCAGCCAUUUGGCCUA